GAAGAAAGAGGAGGAGGAGGAGAAGGAGGAGGAGGAAGAGAAGGAGGAGGAGGAGAAAGAUGAAGAGGAGGAUGAGGAUGAGGAUGAAGAUGAGGUGGAGGUGGAGGUGGAGGAAGAGGAGGACGACGAGGACGAGAAGGAAGCCACUCGUUCGCGAUAAAUGGAAAGAGCAAGGGCUCGUGAACAAACAAAAAUUUAAGAAACACUAAUCCCGGCCGGAUGUAGAAUCUCACGGCAGCAGACGGCAAGGCGCUCUCUCGAUGUGUGGUAAGGAACGAGCGAGAACGAGCUAAGCGAUAUAGGUCGGGAGCGGUGAACGGAGCGUGAUCGUCGUGAAAGGAAGUCGCAAAGGCUUACGCAGAAAAAAACGGCACACCCGUGGCCGCGUGAUGCAGCACGUACCACGCGAAUUAUUUGCCUCGGACUUCCGGUGGAUUUCUUCGAACGACCGACCGACCGACCAACCAACCGACCGACCGACCGACGGACCGACCGACGGACCGAACGAACGAACGAACGAUCUAACUUAAACCCCUGCCUGCAUACCUGAAGAUCAAGGAGACAGAGAGGAAUACGACGGGAGGAUCAUUGACCGAGUUCAACGAAGAUUAUGCGUGGGCCCCCAUUAGAAAGUGGUAUACCGCGAAGCUUCGAUAAAGAAGGAAAAAGAUCGAGCGGCGUUGGGAAGAGAGGUAGUAAAGAGAGGAAGAAGAAGAGGAUGAAGAGGAGGAGGAGGAGGAGGAGGAGGAGGAGGAUAAAGGGAAGGGGGGAGGAACGAUCAUUGGAGCAACGACGGACGGCAGAUGUUACCAAGGAAAGAAAUGUUGGUAUAAACGGCAGGAAGUCGAGAGAGGGAGAGAGAUAGAUAGAUAGAUAGAUAGAGAGAGAGAGAGAGAGAGAGAGAGAGAGAGAGAGAGAGAGAAGAGAGUCGACUUCCGGCAUUUAAAAUCAGCCGGUAGGGCACACAGAUCCUCUAUAGCCUCUCGUCGUAACAACGGAACGUUUCCCGAAGAAGGAAAUGCUAAUUUAUUAAACUCGAGUUUGCUAAACUUGGCUCCUUCUCUACCUCUCAUUUUCUCUCUCUCUCUCUCUCUCUUUCUCUCUUUAUCUAUCUCUGUGGCAUCCUGUCUUACCGGUAGUGACGUCGAAUUUGAUUUCGUGAUCGUAACUUAUUUAACUAGCUCGAUAACGGAGACGAAAUUAGAAAGAGAAUAAACGAGCAAAAGAGAGAGAGAGAGAGAGAGAGAGAGAGAGAGAGAGAGAGAGAGAGAGAGAGAGCUAGACAGAGAGAGGAAAAUUAAUCUGUAGAAAUUUAAUAAGAAAAUAUUUUCUCGAUAUUGGUUCGAAAGAAAGAAGAAAAAAUAGAAAAUAGAAAAGAAGUGAAAGGAAAAGAAAGGAAAAAAGAAAAAAGAGAUAAUAAAAAAUAAUAAAUUCUUCCUUAGGAACUCUAAUUAAGAAUUUUAAUUAUCUCUCUUCUUUUUCUCUUCCCUCUCCUUCUCUCUCUCUCUCUCUCUCUCUCUCUCUCUCGUUCCUCUUUUCAUAUUCGCGUGGCUUCCGUUGAAUCAUGAAAACGCGCGCGGAUAUAUCGCGACUUGUAAAAGGCCGCGAUGCCGGUGCAUAUAUGUAUACAUAUACAGUCGGUAGACCGGCGUACGUUCGCGUGUCUGCACCCCGCAUCCGCUCCCAUGUCCCUGCGCGUAGCUCAGACUUAUAUACAACACCACACGGUUAAAAACAAUGCGAGGAAACGAGCCAUCUUUUCCUGCUGCGUUGCCGUUUGCCGUUUGCCGUUGCCGAUGCACAUAGAGAGAAAGAGAGAAAGAGAGAGAGAGAAGGAGCUGCUCCUUCGUCCGCUCUCUUAGGUGCACUUGACGCAGGAUGCAGUAUUGAAAGAACCAGUACAUAUAAUACGAUAAAAGUGAAUGUGAGUGUGUGUGUGAGAGAAAGAGAAAGAGAGAAAAGAGAGAGAGAGAGAGAGAGAGAGAGAGAGAGAGAGAGAGAAACGUCAAAAGUUAAAAUUACAUUGGAGUUUCGGGUAAUGCAAAUGAAAAUAAAUGUUUAUAUUAAGAGUUACAUUGUUUACUUUGCAAUAUCAAUUUUUACUGUGUUAAGAGAAAGAUACUUUAAUUUGUAUAU